rnacentral:rRNA from 1 species
AACGAACGAUGGCGGCAGGCUUAACACAUGCAAGUCGAACGCCCCGCAAGGGGAGUGGCAGACGGGUGAGUAACGCGUGGGAAUCUACCUAGUGCUACGGAACAACAGAGGGAAACUUCUGCUAAUACCGUAUACGCCCUAUGGGGGAAAGAUUUAUCCGAAUUAGAUGAGCCCGCGUAAGAUUAGCUAGUUGGUGGGGUAAUGGCUCACCAAGGCCACGAUCUUUAGCUGGUCUGAGAGGAGGAUCAGCCACACUGGGUAUGUGACCCGGCCGAGACUCCAACGGGAGGCAGCAGUGGGGAAUAUUGGACAAUGGGCGCAAGCCUGAUCCAGCCAUGCCGCGUGAGUGAUGAAGGCCUUAGGGUUGUAAAGCUCUUUCAGUGGGGAAGAUAGUGACGGUACCCACAGAAGAAGCCCCGGCUAACUUCGUGCCAGCCGCCGCCGUAA